AGUGUCAUCUCUGGCCAUGAAAGCAGGCUGAGGAACCUCCUGAAGAUAGAAAGAAAGCUGCAGCAACCUGAGGCUGAACCUCAACAAUUUCUUUCCGCAGCUAUGGACAAACAAGGCAGUUUGGAAGGAAGUCAUUGGGAAGAAGGGAUUUCACUAUAAGGCAAUACUUGUUUCCAGGUGUGAUGAAGUCAUUUGCCACAAAGUCCCCUUGGCAUACAUCCAGAACUGUGUCGAUGUUAGCCAUAUCCAUCGGAAUACAGAUUCCCUGUCUUCUAUUGUAACUCAUGAUGGCACCCGCUGGACUUACAUUGUGAACCCCAUGUGGACGGGGACUUAAUCUUCUGUAAUUAGGGGAGAACAAUAUAUUUCUGACAGGUUCUGACACGUCACAGGACUUGCUUAUUUUGUAAGUUGAUCCUUUGAUAUCAAGAGAAUGCAAAAGGCCAUCCUACACACCAGAAACAAUAAAAAACAUCAAAAAUCAGUUCCAGUUACUAAA